AUACUACUGAAGAGUCUCAACUGGGACGAAACAGCUGUCCAGUAC
rnacentral:hammerhead_ribozyme from 1 species